GAUGAACGCUGGCGGCGUGCCUAAUACAUGCAAGUCGAGCGAACAGACGAGGAGCUUGCUCCUCUGACGCUAGCGGCGGACGGGUGAGUAACACGUGGAUAACCUACCUAUAAGACUGGGAUAACUUCGGGAAACCGGAGCUAAUACCGGAUAGUAUUUUGAACCGCAUGGUUCAAAAGUGAAAGACGGUCUUGCUGUCACUUAUAGAUGGAUCCGCGCUGCAUUAGCUAGUUGGUAAGGUAACGGCUUACCAAGGCAACGAUGCAUAGCCGACCUGAGAGGGUGAUCGGCCACACUGGAACUGAGACACGGUCCAGACUCCUACGGGAGGCAGCAGUAGGGAAUCUUCCGCAAUGGGCGAAAGCCUGACGGAGCAACGCCGCGUGAGUGAUGAAGGUCUUCGGAUCGUAAAACUCUGUUAUUAGGGAAGAACAUAUGUGUAAGUAACUGUGCACAUCUUGACGGUACCUAAUCAGAAAGCCACGGCUAACUACGUG
rnacentral:rRNA from 1 species